GACGAACGCUGGCGGCAGGCCUAACACAUGCAAGUCGAACGCGUGCCUUCGGGCACGAGUGGCGGACGGGUGAGUAACGCGUGGGAAUUUGCCUUGGGGUACGGAAUAACCGCGGGAAACUGCGGCUAAUACCGUAUACGUCCUUCGGGAGAAAGAUUUAUCGCCCCAAGAUGAGCCCGCGUCCGAUUAGGUAGUUGGUGAGGUAACGGCUCACCAAGCCUUCGAUCGGUAGCUGGUCUGAGAGGAUGAUCAGCCACACUGGGACUGAGACACGGCCCAGACUCCUACGGGAGGCAGCAGUGGGGAAUAUUGGACAAUGGGGGAAACCCUGAUCCAGCCAUGCCGCGUGAGUGAAGAAGGCCUUAGGGUUGUAAAGCUCUUUCGGUGGUGACGAUGAUGACGGUAGCCACAGAAGAAGCCCCGGCUAACUCCGUGCCAGCAGCCGCGGUAAUACGGAGGGGGCAAGCGUUGUUCGGAAUUACUGGGCGUAAAGGGCGCGUAGGCGGAUGAUCAAGUCAGAGGUGAAAGCCCUGGGCUCAACCUAGGAGGUGCCUUUGAAACUGAUUGUCUUGAGUACGGGAGAGGAUAGCGGAAUUCCCAGUGUAGAGGUGAAAAUUCGUAGAUAUUGGGAAGAACACCAGUGGCGAAGGCGGCUAUCUGGCCCCGUAACUGACGCUGAGGCGCGAAAGCGUGGGGAGCAAACAGGAUUAGAUACCCCUGGUAGUCCACGCCCGUAAACGAUGUGUGCUACCC
rnacentral:rRNA from 1 species